UACAGAGGUCUCAAGCGUUGUUCGGAUUCAUUGGGCGUAAAGGGUGCGUAGGCGGCGCGGUAAGUCGGGUGUGAAAUCUCGGAGCUUAACUCCGAAACUGCAUUCGAUACUGCCGUGCUUGAGGACUGGAGAGGAGACUGGAAUUUACGGUGUAGCGGUGAAAUGCGUAGAUAUCUGGAGGAACACCGGUGGCGAAGGCGGUUCUCUGGGACGGUACUGACGCUGAGACGCGAAAGCGUGGGGAGCGAACAGG
rnacentral:rRNA from 1 species